rnacentral:tRNA from 1 species
GGUGUAGUUCAGUGUUAGAACACCUGCCUACAAUGUACAAGACCCUGGGUUCAAUCCCUAGCACC